rfam:Gasterosteus aculeatus cont1.009430, whole genome shotgun sequence.
UUGCCCAUUUUGGCACUAGCACAUUUUUGCUUCUGUAUAUAUACUUUGAGCAAUUAUGUGUAGUGCCAAUAUAGGACA